rnacentral:rRNA from 1 species
UACAGAGGUGGCAAGCGUUGUUCGGAAUUACUGGGCGUAAAGGGCGCGUAGGCGGCCCUCUAAGUCAGACGUGAAAUCCCCCGGCUUAACCUGGGAACUGCGUCUGAUACUGGAGGGCUUGAGUAUGGGAGAGGGAUGUAGAAUUCCAGGUGUAGCGGUGAAAUGCGUAGAUAUCUGGAGGAACACCGGUGGCGAAGGCGGCAUCCUGGACCGGCAUUGACGCUGAGGCGCGAAAGCCAGGGGAGCAAACGGG